GAGUGAUGCCAGGAAAUGGUAUCAACAGAAGUUGGCAACUGGAGCUGGGGCUGUUUUGAAAUCAGGAUAUGGUAUGACUGGACUAACUGAACAUUGUCUAAAGGUUCCUGGAGUAAAGGAGGAUACCAUGGUAUGGUGGGAGUAAUAGAUUUCAAAGAGAAAAGGAAACAUGAUCGCCUGCUCUAUCUUCCUGCAUGACACAGGCCAGAGUAUUUGAAAGCUAAUGAUGUCCUGUAUGGAGAAAAAAAACAGGGGUACCAGUCCAGACCCUGGGAUUGCUCAGUUGAUGCACUAGGGCACUCGCAAAAUUCAGGAGCAGUGAGAAUCAAGGCUGUCAGCUCUUUGGUAUAGAGUUCUUGUCUGUAUACACUCAGAUCCCGUUGCCUUGGAUUUUUAGAGUGGAAGUGAAUGGCUACAGAUUGACAGUGCCUGUUUCGGCAGACCAGGGCUGGACUCAGGCCUAUGCGCCUGCAGAAGAGAGCAGCAUCCACUGACUACCAACAUGUAGGUGCUCCGUUCUUCUCAGCUGCAGACAGUUGCCCAGUGGCCUUUUC
rnacentral:lncRNA from 1 species